AAUUUUCCGCAAUGGGGGAAACCCUGACGGAGCAACGCCGCGUGAGGGAUGAAGGUCUUCGGAUCGUAAACCAUUGUCAUCGAGGACGAUAAUGACGGUACUCGAGGAGGAAGCCACGGCUAACUACGUGCCAGCAGCCGCGGUAACACGUAGGGGGCGAGCGUUGUCCGGAAUUACUGGGCGUAAAGGGCGCGUAGGCGGCCUAAUAAGUCAGAUGUGAAACCCCCGGGCUUAACCCUGGGCUUGCAUUUGAAACUGGAGGGCUUGAGUAUCGGAGAGGGUAGUGGAAUUCCCAGUGUAGCGGUGAAAUGCGUAGAUAUUGGGAGGAACACCAGUGGCGAAGGCGACUACCUGGACGAUUACUGACGCUGAUGCACGAAAGCUAGGGGAGCAAAC
rnacentral:rRNA from 1 species